rnacentral:rRNA from 1 species
AGUCGAACGAAGCUCGAAGCUCUGAGAUUUCGGUCAAGGAGCCUAGAUGACUUAGUGGCGAACGGGUGAGUAAUGCGUGAGCAACCUGCCUUUCAGAGGGGGACAACAGCUGGAAACGGCUGCUAAUACCGCAUAACACACCGGGGUGGCAUCACCCUGGUGUCAAAGGAGCAAUCCGCUGAGAGAUGGGCUCACGUCUGAUUAGCUAGUUGGUGAGGUAACGGCUCACCAAGGCGACGAUCAGUAGCCGGUCUGAGAGGAUGAACGGCCACAUUGGGACUGAGAUACGGCCCAGACUCCUACGGGAGGCAGCAGUGGGGAAUAUUGGGCAAUGGGCGAACGCCUGACCCAGCAACGCCGCGUGAAGGAAGAAGGCUUUCGGGUUGUAAACUUCUUUUAUCAGGGACGAAGGAUGUGACGGUACCUGAUGAAUAAGCCACGGCUAACUACGUGCCAGCAGCCGCGGUAAUACGUAGGUGGCAAGCGUUGUCCGGAUUUACUGGGUGUAAAGGGCGCGUAGGCGGAGAGACAAGUCAGAUGUGAAAUCUAUGGGCUUAACCCAUAAACUGCAUUUGAAACUAUCUCCCUUGAGUGAUGGAGAGGCAAGCGGAAUUCCUAGUGUAGCGGUGAAAUGCGUAGAUAUUAGGAGGAACACCAGUGGCGAAGGCGGCUUGCUGGACAUUAACUGACGCUGAGGCGCGAAAGCGUGGGGAGCAAACAGGAUUAG